AGCUCUAGCAGCUACUAGAAAAGCCUGCUGCACUUAAAAGAUAUGACAAAAGGUACAAGAUACCAGGCAGUAUUUUACCACUUACCUCAUGAUGCAGCUCAGCUAUCUGAUCUUUCAGUUCUCUGAUAUACUGGUUAGAAUCAGAUUUAUUAAGCUGCCCUUGAAUCUUCCCUUCUUCUUUCUGUUUUGGUUAAAAAAAAGAAUCUUACUCAAUUUGUUCACAUACAAUCUUAAAAUGCUAUUUUAGUUGUCUGCAUAUAUAUAUAUAUUUUAAUCAUGCACAGAUAUUCACACACACUUCUCAGCAUUUUUUACUUGGAUGAAGUUUCUAUAGGUAUCCAGGGGCAUUAGCAGCUCAGAACAAGUUGAUCCACUAGGGACCACUGUGUAUGACAAGUUGAGUUUUCUCUUAAGGAGUUUUAAAAUAUAGUGAUAUUUAUUGUGUAGGAAUACUACAGAACAAAAGGGAGGAGAGGAAUGUCCCCUAAUGCCCCUGCCAUAAGAGGUACAAUGAUAAAUUGUACAAUGAUAAAGAGAUGAAGAGGACAUUUGAUUUAUCAAGUAAACGCAGUUACCAACUGCAGAUGACUUCAUCUUGAAACGUUAAAGCCUCCAACACUAACUUUCAGCUUGUCUCUAAUAUGACCAAACCAAAUCCCUGGUAGAUUAAAAAAAAAAUCUGUUUUUUUUUCCCCCCCCAGAUAAGUAAUUUCCGAAGCAGCCACCAACUUUAGCAGAAAUCUUGUAAGUCUUUGCACCAAUUGCAAAUCACGUACGACCAAUACGUUACAGAAAUCCAACAGUACACGGAACACAUGGCUUUCUAAUGGUAGUUCAUUUUGCUGAAUUCCUACUUACACUUGAAGAAAGUAAACAAUGAAUUCCAACAGGUAAGCUCAAAGUAAUUUGUAGAGAGAAUUUCAGUACAAUGAGAGGUGUCAACUACUCUUCAAAAUACAAAGCAAAAAGCUUUAACAGAGAGCUUUCCCUGAAACAUCACCAGGACACAACACAUGCCAGGAAGUUAGUAGCAAUGCACUGCCUUCCAAAACAUUUUACUACAUAAAGAGAAGAAUCUUGAGUAGUGUUUGCUAUUUCAAAGAUAUUUCUCUUUUAAAGCUGUUUUUUAUUACAUAAGAGUACACAUUCCAAAGUUACUUUGUGAUAUUUACUAUUAACUCACAUAAACUACAGUGGAACAGUAGUGCAUAAUACCACACUGAAUGUUCCAAGCCGAUCUAUGGCUCAAAUUCACACACAGUGAGAAGUAUCAUUUUUCCUGUGCUAAAGAGGUUAUAAUAAUAACUAUAUAAUAUCAUUUUUUAACUAUUAGUAUUCAGAAUUACAAACAGAAGGAACAUAACUUACAGACCAAAAAUAAUACAGUUUACAUUCACCUAUAGAAAAAGCUUCACUGAUGCUAAGAAUUUAGACAAGAAUGAUUUCAUCUCUCGUGACAGCAGGAGCACAUGGAAGAAAUGUUCGUUUCAGUCCUUCACUUGAAACAGACUUUUCCAUUUUAGUGUAUUAUUCCUUUGAUUCCAAAUUACUAUGUAACCACAAGGCAUGGCAUCAGAAAGCAAAUGUAAAGCCAGCUUCUUACACCAAAUACAAGACAAGUGCCACAGCUUUUUUAGAGUAAAUAUCUAAGUUUAUAUUAGAAUUGAGCGCACAAGAGGACACAAAGCAGGCAUUUCCAAGUUGUUAUGAUAUGCUAACAGCCAAGUCAGCAAGAUUUACUCAAAUUCAGCACUGCACAAAAAGCUGAAAGCUGCUGCUAUAUAUCGUAUAGAGUGUACAUUAUUGGGAUUAAUGUAUCAUUAACCUUAAAUGAUUUUUAUCCUAAAUAACACUGUGAAGUUAACAUGUAUCACAGAACAAUUCAACAUUAAGUUUGCUCAUUGAAAAACAGUCUACCUCCAGUCAGCUUAAACUGAAUGCCAAUAUGAACCUGGCUUGCAAGGUCCUCCUCACCAAUAAAGGUCAAAGAAAGUUUCAGUUUUCCUUUCAGAACUUACAGAUUUUGUAGAGAUAACAGUUCAUCAAAAUGUGUUUAGCACAGAAACCCCACAAUGUGAUUUUCUACAAACACAUUUUUCAAAGAAAACUUCCUCUUGCAACAUUCAAAACACUAGAGGUCAGAAGAUGAUCCUUUUAUCUAGCUGCAAAAAAUUUAGAAAACCACAAGUAUUUCUAACAAACUGUUUAAGUCCAUGUUCUAUAAGCUACAAAGCCUAUUUUCAGUGGGUAAAUUGGAAGGGUGCCACACAAGUCUUAAGCAACGUAUCAGAAUCUUCUUCAUAGCUGCUGUUCACCUCUCUGAGCAAAGAUGUAUUUUUUUUUUUUUACCUAUUUUAUUUUGCCUUUCAAGUUGUUUAUGUCAUUACUUCUUUAAAAGGCACUCACGCAGGUGCACAUGCAAACCACUGGAAAACAUGCAGUUAUCAUACAUUCUAGAACUAAUAUUUUUGUAGAAACUGAAAAAUAUUUUAUUUGUUCUAUAAAUCAGAUAAGCAGACAGCUGAAAUUGUACACCUGUCAGAUAAAAGCAAUUAAAAAUAUUUCUGUUCAUCUGUUGGUGGAUGAGCCUUGUCAUUCUUCAGCACCCUAAGAGACUGAUGUUUCUCUUCAAAACUGCUUUGCUUUCCAGUCAUUUUAUAUUUAUAUUACAUUCAUAUUACUCAGUAGGAAUUUUCAGCUUCUGAUAAAUAUUUGUUAAUCAAAGGUAAAUUUCAAUUUUGGUUGUAACAUCCUUUAACACUAGUUCUUCAUUGUGACAAUUGAUAAGAGAUCGAAAUCUGAUGACAGGAAGCUUUCAGUAUGUGCAGUUCCUUUUAGCAUUGCAGAAAGCAAUAGGAAUGUCUUCCCCUACUAUUUUUUUUCUGGUAUAUCACAAACAAUACAUUCUCCUAAAAAUUCUGCAGUUCUACAUCUCAUUUUCAACCUACAGACAGUAAUAUAUAACAGUAUCUUGUACUUCCUGACUACCAUUAAAAUAAAAGAAAAAAACACCAAGAACUUUGAUUAAUCAAGGCAUCUUGGUAAUGACCUACAGUCUCUUUUCAAUGACCACUGCCAGUGUGCAUAUAUCUUUAAAUAGCAAAAAUCACCACUACAUUAAUACGAACCCCAAAUUCUGUCCCCCUGCAGGUUAGAUUCCCUCUUGUGCAUUGUAAUUCUAGAUUAUAUUAAAUACACUUGGGCACUUAUCUUUAUGCCACUGUGACUACUUAGAAGUGCAUACAGUAAGCAUACUGAUGCUUGACACAUUUGCCUCACACAAGAAAACCACAAAUGGGAUUUCAAGUUCAUGCUUAACUUAGUGACUUAUUAAGAAAGCCUUAGGAACUUCAGCUUGGCUUUUUCAGCCUCAAAUAUGACACUGUAUUACAUACAUAGAUAAAAUUUUAACUCUUCAAACUGAUCUAGCCAUGUGGCAUAGGGCAAUCUGACAGAGCUCCCUGUUCUCAGUCCUGAACAUGAAUUAAACUUGCCCUGAAAAGAUGGACAGGGAAUUAGUUAGGCUGCAAGUGACAUGGAAGUGGGAAAGAAAGUGAGAAGUGAAGAUAUAACAAGCACUGAAGAGAAUUUGAAACAAUUCAGUGCUUUGGGCAGAAAGAACUCUUGAUGAUUACAUCCUCAGCAUACUAUUUGCAGGAUACGGCUGUUGCAAUUAGUACUAAGCAUCUAUUCCAAGAAUAACUUGAGUUGGGGAACAAAGGGCUACCUACCCAAAAGACCAGAGUCCUUGGUCCAAGCCCAGCAGCCUAGAAGGUCUGAGCCUACAUUCUGAACGGUCUCGAUGCAUUUCUUCCUUGUCAAUCCUACUAUUGCUAGUUUCAUGUUUCAAGUGUUGGGCCAUGCAGAUGUGCUGGAAGACGUGUUUUUAGUAUCGAUUGAUCUGGCAAGUCUUCCACAGAAAAAAAAAAGACGAAGAAAAUCCUAAUCUUCUUUGUCUUAAAUAGUAAGAGAGUUCAAGCACAAAGAAAAUAAAACCUGUCUUGUAUGAAACCUCCUAGAAAAAAAAGGGGAGCUAACUGCUCUACUCAUCAUCUUUCUUUAUUCUAAAUCUGGUUUUGACUUUUUUUAGUUAAGAAAAGCAGUACCAAAGUUAUCUGUUUUCAUUAAAUCACAUUUCCAUAUGCUUUGGCUUCCUCAUUUGCUAGAUGAUCCCACUGACAGAAAAAAAAAAGCUGCUUUUAUGAGUUAUUGAAUGCUUCCUGUUGUACUAUUUAGUUCAGUAGGAACCAAGCAUUUAACUCAGCUGGUUUUGUGUUGUGCUUCAGUAGUUUUGUAUUUCUGAAGAAAACAAGCAGAUUAACUGGACUGGUUGAAAAAUUAAUGUUAAAUUAAGUUGUUUUGUAAUGUGUGCUUAAGGUAUGGAUAUCACACCUUUUAAAAGGAAGUAACGUAAGCAACUAGUAAUCUUCCUUCACAAGAGUUUAAAGAUCUAAUAUUGUAUGCAUAGGAUGUGGUUAAUGUUCCUUUGUUGUCUUUUUUUUUUAUUGAGCUAGAACACUAUUGCAGAAAAUCUGUGGUAUUUGGAGAGGUCACCAUACAAAGAAUGCCUGGCCUCCUGACAACUAAUAGACAUUCUGAGUUUGAAAUAACGUACUUCAAGAAACUAGAUGACAUCAAGAAGCAAAAAGGAGUAAUAAAUUGGAACAGUGAAAGAAACAAAGUUAGGCAAAACUAGAAUCAAGGACUUUUGGUUUAAAAACACCCAUCACAAGUAAAUCAAUCUCUACAUGAUUUCCACAGUACACUGUUUCUGCAUACUGGCAACACUGCAGUGUCUAUGCCCCCUUCUCAGGAAGGUUUUUAGAAAUGUAAUACUAGUUGGUGCUGUGUCAUUCAAAAGCCAUUAUUUCAAUUUUGCCCACUCCUCAUCUUACUGUAUCUUCAAAGAGAUCAGCUUCUCCAGCAUUGACACAGUUACAAAUCUCUGUACCAGGGGAAAAACAACCACCACCACCCACCACCUAGUGGGCAACUAUCAGCUCUGCUCAAGAAAAAAGGACCUGUAACAGAUGAAACAGCCAACAUGCAGUCCAAACUGACUCGAGAGGCUACAUAAGGAGGGAGUAGCACAGGCAGUGGAAGGGCAGGAAAUGAGCCCUGAAGACUAAAAAGCCUGUCCUGCCUUCAACUGUUACAAGGAAAGCUUAAAAAAAGCCAACAACAAAAAUCCCACCAGUGUUGAAUGACCAACAGGACCAACUAUACAUGAUCAGAAGGAACAUCUGCUCUUACAGACCAGAAGAUUAGUGAGGCUUGGGAGAGGUUUUCUUGAGAGCUAUAAAGAAGUAUAGAGACAAACCAGAAGUAACAGUAUUUUAAAGGCUGAUAUUAAGGAGUUAAAAAAUUUGCUUGUUGCAGCUUGUAGCUAUUACACCAGAUCAAGUGCUAACAAGAAAGAUUUAUUCCCUGAGGAAGAAAACCCAGGGAUUUACUGAUGGACUACAGGCAUAAAGAGAGAAUAUCCAUUCUUUGGUCUUAGCUGCCUGUAUCUUACAAAAGGAUGAGACAAAAGGGGUUUGUACCUCCAUACUGGGGAUAAGCUGUUCUCUUCAUAUGUUGUUUCACUUUCUCAUAGAAAUGAGACAUGCAUUCUAUAGUUUGGCCAAAACUAGUCAGCUAUCAGCCUAUACAUCUAGAAAUAUAUCAUUUCGUUUUUAAUGAUUAGGUAAAGUAUUCCACUCAAAACUGGGAAGCCUGCUAAGCACUUGAUGCAAUGCUUGCUUCUUAAGGGUUUUAUGAGUUGAGCUGGUAAGGGAAAAUAAAAGAGCAGAGGAAAAAAACAGCUGACAAAGGACACCUUUGCUUAUACACAGCUUCAAGGUUUUUCUGCAUCACCUCUCUGAGUUAGGCAUUCCAAUUAUGUUAUUAUCAUUAAGGGAUGUCUCAGACUUUUUUGAUUAAGAAUGUCCAUGGAUUAUUUUCGCAUUUCAACACAUCUACACAGAAGUCUAACAGGUCAGCAUCAAGAACUCAAUGCCUAAGAUAAAAAGACAUUCAGAAUACAUAAAAAUAACUACUUAAUAUCAGUGAACUGAGAUCUUGCUACAAAAGUUUCACCCACUAUUAAAUGAUAGAACUAC